rnacentral:rRNA from 1 species
GACGCUGGCGGCGUGCCUAACACAUGCAAGUCAAGGAGAAUUCCCGACUUGUCGGGAUAGUAAACUGGCGAACGGGGUGAGUAACACGUAGGUAACUCUACCCUCGGGAUCGGGAUAACCUCGCGAAAGUGGGGAUAAUACCGAAUAAAGUCUCGGUAUAAUUUGUCGAGAUGAAAGAUGGGGAUCUUCGGACCUAUUACCUGAGGAUGAGCCUGCGCCUGAUUAGCUAGUUGGUAGGGUAAAUGCCUACCAAGGCAACGAUCAGUAGCUGGUCUGAGAGGAUGAUCAGCCACAUUGGGACUGAGAUACGGCCCAGACUCCUACGGGAGGCAGCAGUGAGGAAUUUUGCGCAAUGGGCGAAAGCCUGACGCAGCAACGCCGCGUGACUGAUUAAGCUCUGAGGAGUGUAAAAGUCUGUCGUAGAGGAAGAAACUAUCCGAUAAGAAUAUUGUCGGAUACUGACGGUACUCUAUGAGAAAGCUCCGGCUAACUCCGUG